ACCCUGGGAAACUGGGACUAAUCCCUGAUGAGUCUCCGUAGCUGGAAUGCUCGGAGACGGAAAGCUCCGGCGCCACAGGAUGGGUCUGCGGCCUAUCAGGGUAGUAGUGGGUGUAGAGUACCUACUAGCCUACGACGGGUACGGGUUGUGAGAGCAAGAGCCCGGAGAUGGAUUCUGAGACACGAAUCCAGGCCCUACGGGGUGCAGCAGGCGCGAAAACUUUACAAUGCGGGACACCGCGAUAAGGGGACCUCGAGUGCUGGCAUACAAUGCUGGCUGUCCAGCUGCCUAAAUAGCAGUUGAUAGCAAGGGCCGGGCAAGACCGGUGCCAGCCGCCGCGGUAACACCGGCGGCUCGAGUGGUAACCGUUAUUAUUGGGUCUAAAGGGUCUGUAGCCGGCCGGAUAAGUCUCUUGAGAAAUCUGGCAGCUUAACUGUCAGGCUUUCAGGAGAUACUGUCUGGCUCGAGGCCGGGAGAGGUGAGGGGUACUUCAGGGGUAGGGGUGAAAUCUUGUAAUCCUUGAAGGACCACCAGUGGCGAAGGCGUCUCACCAGAACGGACCUGACGGCAAGGGACGAAAGCUAGGGGCACGAACCGGAUUAGAUACCCGGGUAGUCCUAGCCGUAAACGAUACUCGCUAGGUGUCGGCCACGGUGCGACCGUUGUCGGUGCCGUAGGGAAGCCGUGAAGCGAGCCACCUGGGAAGUACGGCCGCAAGGCUGA
rnacentral:rRNA from 1 species